GUCAGAUCUCCAGUGGUCUGAAAAUUGAUCGGCGUCGGAAAACAAGUAGAGUCAUAAUCACAAUCGAGGUGAUUUCUUCCCAUCUGUCCUAGCCUUGGUAAAGAGUUGCUUGGUACAUGUUGGUGGAGGAAAGUGACUGGUAACCCCCGGAAUCAGUCGAGGUGCAUGCCAGUUAUCUCGUCCUGCACUGUGUUUGAUCUUGCGAAGGCUCACUUUAUGGAUCAGCAAUUUUAGCAUUAGGUCGCGAUUUUGGCAAAUUUAAAGCAUCCAAAUAUUAUACGGUGUCGUAUAUUUUGACUGAAUAUACAAGAGGGGGAUCAGUGUGUCAGUUCCUGCAAAACCAAGUUGUGCCAUUGAAGUUAGCCGUUAAGCUGGUCUUGGAUGUGGAGCAUGUGCAUGGUCUGAAUUUUAUUCAUCGAGAUCUAAAAUCCGACAAUCUACGGAUUGGUGCUGACAAGUCAAUCAAGAUUGCAGACUUUGAUGUUGCUCGAAUUCAAGUGGACAAGAUGCUCGAGGCAGCAGGGAGACAGAAAUCAUGACUGAUAUCAGAAAGGCGCGUUCAGGUGCUGCCCUCGUCCUACGGCUACAGAGAGAGGCAAAAGACGUUGAAUUGGCAAAAUCUUUUUUUCAUAGGCGAUUAGUAAUCAUACAUACAAAAAAUAUGUGAAGUAAAACAUGUAAGAUCUUGAUAGAGUCGUUUUCUUCUA